rnacentral:rRNA from 1 species
CGGUUGAUCCUGCCGGAGGUCACUGCUAUUGGGAUUCGACUAAGCCAUGCGAGUCGAGAGGGUUCGGCCCUCGGCUGACGGCUCAGUAACACGUGGAUAAUCUGCCCUUAGGUGGAGGAUAAUCUCGGGAAACUGAGGAUAAUACUCCAUAGAUCUAGGAUGCUGGAAUGCAUCUAGAUUGAAAGCUCCGGCGCCUAAGGAUGAGUCUGCGGACUAUCAGGUUGUAGUCAGGGUAAAGACCUGACUAGCCUACGACGGAUACGGGUUGUGAGAGCAAUAACCCGGAGACGACAUCUGAGACACGAUAUCGGGCCCUACGGGGCGCAGCAGGCGCGAAAACUUCACACUGUGCGAAAGCGCGAUGAGGGAAUCCCAAGUGUUUGCUCGUAAGAGUAAACUGUUUCUUUGUUUAGAACGCAGAGAGAGUAAGGGCUGGGUAAGACGGGUGCCAGCCGCCGCGGUAAUACCUGCAGCUCGAGUGGUGAUCAUUAUUAUUGGGCCUAAAACGUCCGUAGCCGGUUUAGUAAAUGCCUGGGUAAAUCGUGUAGCUUAACUAUACGACUUCUGGGUAGACUGCUAAACUUGAGACCGGGAGAGGCUAGAGGUACUCCUGGGGGUAGAGGUGAAAAUUCUGUAAUCCUAGGGGGACCACCAGUGGCGAAGGCGUCUAGCUAGAACGGAUCUGACGGUGAGGGACGAAGCCCUGGGGCGCGAACCGGAUUAGAUACCCGGGUAGUCCAGGGUGUAAACGCUGCUUGCUUGAUGUUAGUUGGGCUCCGAGCCCAAUUAGUGUCGGAGAGAAGUUGUUAAGCAAGCUGCCUGGGAAGUACGGUCGCAAGACUGAAACUUAAAGGAAUUGGCGGGGGAGCAC